UACGAAGGGGGCUAGCGUUGCUCGGAAUCACUGGGCGUAAAGGGUGCGUAGGCGGGUCUUUAAGUCAGGGGUGAAAUCCUGGAGCUCAACUCCAGAACUGCCUUUGAUACUGAAGAUCUUGAGUUCGGGAGAGGUGAGUGGAACUGCGAGUGUAGAGGUGAAAUUCGUAGAUAUUCGCAAGAACACCAGUGGCGAAGGCGGCUCACUGGCCCGAUACUGACGCUGAGGCACGAAAGCGUGGGGAUCAAACAGGAGUUAGA
rnacentral:rRNA from 1 species